rnacentral:rRNA from 1 species
GAUGAACGCUGGCGGCGUGCCUAAUACAUGCAAGUCGAGCGAACAGACGAGGAGCUUGCUCCUCUGACGUUAGCGGCGGACGGGUGAGUAACACGUGGAUAACCUACCUAUAAGACUGGGAUAACUUCGGGAAACCGGAGCUAAUACCGGAUAAUAUAUUGAACCGCAUGGUUCAAUAGUGAAAGACGGUUUUGCUGUCACUUAUAGAUGGAUCCGCGCCGCAUUAGCUAGUUGGUAAGGUAACGGCUUACCAAGGCGACGAUGCGUAGCCGACCUGAGAGGGUGAUCGGCCACACUGGAACUGAGACACGGUCCAGACUCCUACGGGAGCCAGCAGUAGGGAAUCUUCCGCAAUGGGCGAAAGCCUGACGGAGCAACGCCGCGUGAGUGAUGAAGGUCUUCGGAUCGUAAAACUCUGUUAUUAGGGAAGAACAAAUGUGUAAGUAACUAUGCACGUCUUGACGGUACCUAAUCAGAAAGCCACGGCUAACUACGUG